UGCCAGCCGCCGCGGUAAUACGGAGGGUGCAAGCGUUGCGCGGAAUUACUGGGCGUUAAGGGUCCGUAGGCUGUUUGUUAAGUCAGUCUUGUAAUCCAUCGGCUCAACCGAUGAAACGGGAUUGAUACUGGCAGACUAGAGCGCGAGAGGGGAAAGUGGAAUUCCAGGAGUAGCGGUGAAAUGUGUUGAUACCUGGAGGAACGCCAAAGGUGAAGACAACUUUCUGGCUCGUAGCUGACGCUGAGGGACGAAAGCGUGGGGAGCAAAUAGGAUUAGAUA
rnacentral:rRNA from 1 species